rnacentral:piRNA from 1 species
UGAGUUGGCAACCAACAGCAUUUGCUAUGGUA